GACGGAGGGCGCUAGCGUUGUUCGGAAUCACUGGGCGUAAAGGGCGCGCAGGCGGCCCGGCCAGUCGGGUGUGAAAGCCCGGGGCUCAACCCCGGAACGGCACCCGAUACUGCCGGGCUCGAGGCCGGGAGAGGGUGGUGGAAUACCCAGUGUAGAGGUGAAAUUCGUAGAUAUUGGGUGGAACACCGGUGGCGAAGGCGGCCACCUGGCCCGGUCCUGACGCUGAGACGCGAAAGCGUGGGGAGCGAACAGG
rnacentral:rRNA from 1 species